rnacentral:rRNA from 1 species
CCUACGGGCGACAGCAGUCGAGAAUCAUUCACAAUGGGGGAAACCCUGAUGGUGCGACGCCGCGUGGGGGAAUGAAGGUCUUCGGAUUGUAAACCCCUGUCAUGUGGGAGCAAAUUAAAAAGAUAGUACCACAAGAGGAAGAGACGGCUAACUCUGUGCCAGCAGCCGCGGUAAUACAGAGGUCUCAAGCGUUGUUCGGAAUCACUGGGCGUAAAGCGUGCGUAGGCUGUUUCGUAAGUCGUGUGUGAAAGGCGCGGGCUCAACCCGCGGACGGCACAUGAUACUGCGAGACUAGAGUAAGGGAGGGGGAACCGGAAUUCUCGGUGUAGCAGUGAAAUGCGUAGAUAUCGAGAGGAACACUCGUGGCGAAGGCGGGUUCCUGGACAUUAACUGACGCUGAGGCACGAAGGCCAGGGGAGCGAAAGGGAUUAGAUACCCGUGUAGUC